GAGAACCCCUCGUACUAUUUCUUCAGCUCAGAAUCAACAGCGGUGUGUGCUUCUGAGUGUCUUUCUCUGUGUAGAAUGAGAUGCAUGGCAAUGCGAGUGCCAUUCCCAUUUUCGAUUUGGGCGGCUGACCAUAUUGAGUACCAGGUGUAACUCGACGGCUCAAUUUAGCCAGGACGCAGAGCACCAACACAUGCCUCGUAGACUUUUUUUUCAUUUUCUGUUUUUUUCCCCCAAGUGGAAAGAGUCUUUCGGCGGGUUUUCUUGUUCUUGGAAACCUAAAACCGGCCAGCGACUCGACUUAAACUGCGCUCGGGAGAUGAAAAGACAAUUGCCCGCGAAUGUUUGAAAGCGGGACAAAUCCAAGCACAGAAGGGACUUCGGAACGACUACGGAAUUGCUAACAUCGUUAACAAUUGCGUAGUUCCGGUUCCAAUGAAUAUCUGUCUGAUCUGAGGAUCGAAAAGUGUGGUCGCCCAUUCCGACUUUGUCCGUGGAAGAAGGCGGAAGCGGUUAGUGAUUUUGUACCGCGUGUUACCCGUGUUGAAGUGAGAUUAGAAAACUAGUAGUGCGAAUUAAUUGAUACGCUGAAGAAGUUAGAUACUCUCCAGUGCACCAGCAAACCUAAUUGGAGAAAAAGCCGCUUACUGACCCCACGUGCGAGGUCUGGAAGUUACCAUCAUACUCGUCAAUUCUGGUGGCCGCGCGGUGCGCUUACGCAAGACGGCACUCGCGCCAAAAGGGGAAACAGCACACAGUACGCAGCACGGAGCCAUCACUCGUCCGUGUGCGUACUCGAGAUUCAUUGUCCCGUUCAACGUCUGCAGCGAACGACGGUAAAGCAGAACCACGUAAAACCUAGGUCGUGAGUACAAAUCUAUUUUAUUUCCGUAACUAAUACAUGCGCAUGUAGGGAAUAAAUAGAGACAGAAGAACCACACAACUAAUAAAUGCCACACAACAAUGCCACACUAGAUUUUGUACAGUGUUCUUACCGACAGUGAGCGCAAGCCCGUCGGCAGAAAGAAAAGCCUGAAUGAGAUGAGGCGAUAGAGUAGUUAGGAAACGUGCCGUUCAGAGAAUCGAUGGGUCAGAGGAUCGAAACCCAAAUUACCCAAUAAAAUGUUUAUAUAGAUGUUUAAGGAAAAUAAUGUUCGUAAUUUAUGCUGUCUCGAAUAUAUCUAAAAUAAAU